rnacentral:rRNA from 1 species
GAUGAACGCUGGCGGCGUGCCUAAUACAUGCAAGUCGAGCGAACAGACCAUGCGCUUGCUCCUCUGACGUUAGCGGCGGACGGGUGAGUAACACGUGUAUAACCUACCUAUAAGUCUGGGAUAACUUCGGGAAACCGGAUCUAAUACCGGAUAAUAUAUUGAACCGUAUGGUUCAAUAGUGAAAUACGGUUUUUCUGUCACUUAUAGAUGGUUCCGCGCCGCAUUAGCUAGUUGGUAAGGUAACGGCUUACCAAGGCGACGAUGCGUAGCCGACCUGAGAGGGUGAUCGGCCACACUGGAACUGAGACACGGUCCAGACUCCUACGGGAGGCAGCAGUAGGGAAUCUUCCGCAAUGGGCGAAAGCCUGACGGAGCAACGCCGCGUGAGUGAUGAAGGUCUUCGGAUCGUAAAACUCUGUUAUUAGGGAAGAACAAAUGUGUAAGUAACUAUGCACGUCUUGACGGUACCUAAUCAGAAAGCCACGGCUAACUACGUG